UUCGUAGGUGGCCAACUAAGUCAGACGUGAAAUCCCUCAGCUUAACUGGGGAACUGCGUCUGAUACUGGUGUGGCUUGAGUGCAGGAGAGGAACGCGGAAUUCCAGGUGUAGCGGUGAAAUGCGUAGAUAUCUGGAGGAACACCGGUGGCGAAGGCGGCGUUCUGGACUGCAACUGACACUGAGGAACGAAAGCCAGGGAGCAAACG
rnacentral:rRNA from 1 species